rnacentral:tRNA from 1 species
GCAUUGGUGGUUCAGUGGUAGAAUUCUAGCCUUCUGUGCAGAAGACCCAGGUUCAGUUCCCCGCCAGUGCA